rfam:Pteropus alecto contig164347, whole genome shotgun sequence.
CCGAGUGUGCGGAGGGCAGCCGCGUCCCGAGCCUGGGCGCUGUGCCUACCUGCAGCAACUGCUGCCCAGCACAUUUCCGACCGUUGAUCUGGCGUCCUGCGAGCCUUUUCCAGGCCCGCAGCCGGAAUCGAGCGCCAGCACAGGAUGCCUGUGCGAG